AGAGGUUGCAAGUUGUGGUGCUUUGUUGAUAGCCAGAGGCAGUGUCAGCCUCGCUGGGAAGUUGAGGACGAUUCGAUGAAAUGGAGGCUGGUUAUGGAAACGAUUCGGCUUCCGGUGACGACGAUGACGUCGGUUUUCGCGGGAAGUUUGAGUGGUCAAGCGGUGGCGAUGAUUGGCGGCGGCGGGGAAGAAAGCGGGACGAUGAUGAUGAUGACGAAGGGGGAGAAAAAUGGCGGGAAGUGGAGCCACGUCAGCA
rnacentral:lncRNA from 1 species